UGCCCAAAUCUUAGAUCACUGGAACACAAAGGUCUUUGCCACUUAUCCUCUUUGGAAUACUUGGGAAUUCAUGUCUGUCCUAAACUCCAGUACCUUCCAAAGGAGGGUUUGCCUAGUUCCCUUUGUAAACUACGAAUUGCGGGCUGUCCAUUGUUCAAAAAGCAGAUCCAAAACCAAAAAGGCAAAUAUUGGGCAAAGAUUUCUCACGUCCCUUUUGUUAUCUUUGACGAUGAUGAAGUAGUAUCUAUAAGUGAGCUUCUCUAUGAUGAUGGCAUCGAUUUUCCUACCAUCUAAUUCACUCAUCAGCCAGCAGUGUUGGGGAAAGAACGCUGGUGCCGCUCAAUAGGCUUUCGGAUAGAAAGAAGGAAUAAGAGGGAACCACUCAACGUGGAGGUACAUAUUGCUUCAUCAGAACAGCCAGAGAAGAGGCAAAAGAGAGUCAGGCCUGAUGUACUCUGAAGGAAACGAAAGUUCUGCUUCAAGUAAGAAAGAUGCAAAUGGUGGAAGACAGUAUCAAACACCAUUAUUGCUCUGAAAUUAUGGAGCUUUCCAACUGCUCCAAAUUCAUUCACAAAUAUAACUCCCAUGAUAGCAUUGAUUACCAAGACGACUCUGUGUUUUCAAAGCUGCUGAAAUAUAUCUUCGUUCACAUUCUCUGCUUUUCUAUUAGUGUUGUAUUAUAGACUCCCUUGAAAUUUGAAUUUUUGAAGAGAUGAUGUGAGCAUUAGUUCCUAGGGUUGCCUUUGCAUAACGUUGUAAAGGCCUUAGUUCAUGAUUUAAAGUUUUGAUAAGGUUUCUCAGGGUUAGGGAAAAUAGAGACUUGAUUGCGGUUAUUUACUAGGAAUAAAAACGCUCCUAUUUUGCAUUUGAGUAGAGAUUGUAAUACUUGAAAUUUGAAUAUGCCCUUAUGCCUCAUGGUGUAAUGUUCACACACACAGAUAUUUCAAAAAUG